GAUGAACGCUGGCGGCGUGCCUAAUACAUGCAAGUCGAGCGAACAGACGAGGAGCUUGCUCCUCUGACGUUAGCGGCGGACGGGUGAGUAACACGUGGAUAACCUACCUAUAAGACUGGUAUAACUUCGGGAAACCGGAGCUAAUACCGGAUAACAUGUUGAACCGCAUGGUUCAACAGUGAAAGUCGGUCUUGCUGUCUCUUAUAGAUGGAUCCGCGCCGCAUUAGCUAGUUGGUAAGUUAACGGCUUACCAAGGCAACGAUGCGUAGCCGACCUGAGAGGGUGAUCGGCCACACUGGAACUGAGACACGGUCCAGACUCCUAAGGGAGGCAGCAGUAGGGAAUCUUCCGCAAUGGGCGAAAUCCUGACGGAGCAACGCCGCGUGAGUGAAGAAGGUCUUCGGAUCGUAAAACUCUGUUAUUAGGGAAGAACAAAUGUGUAAGUAAAUAUGCACGUCUUGACGGUACCUAAUCAGAAAGCCACGGCUAACUACGUG
rnacentral:rRNA from 1 species